rnacentral:lncRNA from 1 species
GCUUAUUUAACCAUACAAUCCUAUGCAUACAUCUAAGGUGAGUGUGUGCGUGUCGGUGCGUCAUAGUGUCCAUAGUCCAUAUUACAAAAAUUGCCUAAAUACAUUCUAUGGCCCCUUUGCCAAGCUACAAACCAAUGGUAAAAUAUUACAUCAUCGAAUGAAUUACAAUUUGUAAAAAAAGAAAACUAAACUAACGGAGGCAAUAGUGAAGAUAAUGAAGUGCUAUGAAG